rnacentral:rRNA from 1 species
UUAUUGGAUUGUGGUGUAAGCGUGUGGCCCGUGGCAUAGGUAAAUCCGUGUCGCAUAUUUGGGUGAGGCGUGAUGCGUAGACCUUUGUGGUUGAUGUUGGUGAUCCUGUACUGUCGAGAAAAGCCUCUAGCGAGUGCAUAUAUGGCCCGUACCCAUAACCGACACAGGUGGUCAGGUAGAGAAUACUAAGGCGAUCGGGUGAACUGUGGUUAAGGAACUCGGCAAAUUGCCCCCGUAACUUCGGGAGAAGGGGGACCAUUGCUGGUGACCGACGUGGUUGAGCUGGUGGUGGUCGCAGAGAAUAGAGGGAAGCGACUGUUUAUUAAAAACACAGGUCCGUGCGAAAACGUGGAAGUUGAUGUAUACGGACUGACGCCUGCCCGGUGCUGGAAGGUUAAGAGGACCUGUUAGGGCAUUUUUUGUCCGAAGCGGAGAAUUUAAGCCCCAGUAAACGGCGGUGGUAACUAUAACCAUCCUAAGGUAGCGAAAUUCCUUGUCGGGUAAGUUCCGACCUGCACGAAUGGCGUAACGACUUCCCUGCUGUCUCAACCACAGGCCCGGUGAAAUUGCAGUACGAGUAAAGAUGCUCGUUACGCGCGGCAGGACGAAAAGACCCCGGGACCUUCACUAUAGCUUGGUAUUGGUGUUUGGUUCGGUUUGUGUAGGAUAGGUGGGAGACUGUGAAGUGGUCACGCUAGUGGUUGUGGAGUCGAAAGUUGAAAUACCACUCUGAUCGGAUUGAGCACCUUAACCUUGGCCCAUGAUCUGGGUUGGGGACAGUGCCUGGUGGGUAGUUUAACUGGGGCGGUUGCCUCCUAAAGUGUAACGGAGGCGCCCAAAGGUUCCCUCAGCCUGGUUGGCAAUCAGGUGGUGAGUGUAAGUGCACAAGGGAGCUUGACUGUGAGACUGACAGGUCGAGCAGGGACGAAAGUCGGGACUAGUGAUCCGGCACCUACUUGUGGAAGUGGUGUCGCUCAACGGAUAAAAGGUACCCCGGGGAUAACAGGCUGAUCUUCCCCAAGAGUCCAUAUCGACGGGAUGGUUUGGCACCUCGAUGUCGGCUCGUCGCAUCCUGGGGCUGGAGUAGGUCCCAAGGGUUGGGCUGUUCGCCCAUUAAAGCGGCACGCGAGCUGGGUUUAGAACGUCGUGAGACAGUUCGGUCUCUAUCCGCCGCGCGCGUUGAAACUUGAAGAAGGCUGUCCCUAGUACGAGAGGACCGGGACGGACGUACCUCUAGUGUGCCAGUUGUCACGCCAGUGGCAGGGCUGGUUGGCUACGUACGGGAGGGAUAACCGCUGAAAGCAUCUAAGCGGGAAGCCUGUUUUGAGAUGAGGUUUCUUUUGAGGUUCCCUCUAGACUAGGGGGUUGAUAGGCCAGAUCUGGAAGCGUAGUAAUGCGUUAAGGUGACUGGUACUAAUUUUACCGAGUAAUAACA